rnacentral:tRNA from 1 species
UCCCUGGUAGUAUAUCGGUUAGUACACGCGCCUGUCAUAUCGUGGUGCGCGCGAAAGCGGGGUUCGACUCCCCGCCAGGGAG